AAAACUGCUACAUGAAUGGUCAACAACAGACCGGUUAUAUAUAACAGACGGUUAUACCAUUGAGGAAUGUUAAAACUGCUACAUGAAUGGUCAACAACAGACCGGUUAUAAUGGGUGAGUCAACUCUACAGCCAUGGGACGGACUGAUGAAUUUUGACAUAAGGAAAAUAUGGGACAGCCAGACAAAACCACUUGCUGACAUGACUGAUGGGAUGCAACAGGAUGUACACCAUGCCAGCAAUGAAGUAUUCCUUGAAGGGAAAGGGAGAAUCUGAAUAUAGUCAAGCCUCUAGAUCUGACUCCUAAUAUACAGAAAAUGUGAGAGAGGAGUUAAUUGAUACUAUAAAGGAUGCUCCUUGCCGAAUCCAAUAUAGGAUGUUCCAUGGAUAAAUGAUUCCAUUUUUUCAAUUUCAUUUUUGAGGAGGAACUGGAUUGCACCAAAUGAACUUCAUUUUGAUUUUGGUUCAAACUUUUAAAAAAGACACCUUUAGGACAAUAUGAGAAAAUGAUAUAUGGACUGGGUUUAGAUAUUAAUUAUCAACAUGGUUAAUGUGAUACUCGCAUAUAGUCUUUUUUUUUUUAAAGAUUUUACUUAUUAAAAAAAAAAGAUUUCACUUAUUUAUUCACAAGAGACACACAGAGGCAGAGACACAGGCAGAGGGAGAAGCAGGCCCCAUGCUGGGAGCCCAAUGUGGGACUCGAUCCUGGCACUCCAGGAUCAUGCCCUGAGCUGAAGGCAGACGCCAAACCGCUGAGCCACCCAGGCAUCCCUGUUCUUUUCUUUUUUCAAAGGCAUACUCAUUAGGGUGCCUGGCUGGCUCAGUCAGAAGAGCAUGUGUCUCUCAAUCUCAGGGUUGUGAGUUCGAGCCGCAUGUUGGGUGGAGAGCUUAAACAAAACUUAAAAAAAAAAAAAGGCAUCCUUAUCUGUUACCGCACACAUUAAAAUAUGUGACAUAUCUAGAAUUUGUCUUAAAAUAGUCUAAGAAGGGGGCACCUGGAUAGUUCAGUCAGCUAAGUGUCCAACUCUUGAUUUCAGCUCAGGUUAUGAUCUCAGGGUUGUGGGACUGAUUCCCAUUGUCGGGGUCCACACUGGGCAUGGAGCCUGCUUAAGAUUUUCUCUCCCUCUCACUCUGCCCCUCCCUACCUUUAAAAAAAAAUAAAAAUGUGAAAUAAAACAAAAUUGGUAAAAUGUCAAUUGUUGAAGCUGGAUUAUGUUAGGUAGGAGUUUGUUAAUACCAGUUGCUGUAACUGUUUGUGUCCCCCCAAAUUCUUAUGUUGAAGCCUAGUGAUGGUGCUUGGAAAUGGGGCCUUUGGGGGUGAUUAGGGUUAGAUUCGGUCAUGAGGGGGGACGCCUGGGUGGCUCAGCGGUUGAGCAUUUGCCUUUGGCUCAGGGCUUGAUCCCAGAACUCUCCCAUCAAGUCCCACAUUGGGCUCCCUGCAGGGAGCCUGCUUCUCCCUCUGCCGGUCUCUGCCUCUUUCUCUGUAUCUCUUAUGAAUAAAUAAAUAAAAUCUUAAAAAAAAAAUUAGGUCAUGAGAGUAGGGCCCUGACAAAGGGAAAGAUGAUCUUUAAAAGAUUGAAAGAUAAAGGAUUAGUAUCCAAUAUGUAUAAAGAACUGAUACAACUCAACAAAGACAUGAAUGAACAUUUCUCUAAAGAAGACAUCCAGAUGGCCAAAAGACACAAGAAAAGAUGCUCAAAAUCACUCAUUAUCAGGGAAAGGCAAAUCAAAACCACAAUGAGAUAUUACCUCACAUGUGUCAGAAUGGCUAGAAUCAACAACACAAGAAACAACAGGUGUUGGUGAGGAUGUGGAGAAAGGGGAACUCUUUUGCACUGUUGGUGAGGAUGGAACUGGUGCAGCCACUGUGGAAAAAUGUGCAGGUUCAUCAAAAAAUUAAAACUAGAACCUCCCUAUGAUCUAGUAAUCACACUACUGGGUAUUUACCCAAAGAAUACAAAAACGGUAAUUCAAAGGGAUAUAUGCACCCGUUUACAGCAGCAUUGUCUUCGAUAGCCAAAUUAUGAAAGCAGCCCAUGUCCAUUAAAAGAUGAAUGGAUAAAGAUGUCUCUCUCUCACACACACACACACACCAUGGAAUAGUACUCAGCCAUAAAAAAAGAAUGAAACCUUGCCAUUUGCAACCACGUGGAUGGAGCUAGAGUAUAAUGCUAAGUGAAACCAAAUACAUAUGAUUUCUCUCACACGUAGAAUUUAAGAAACAAAACAAAUGAGCAAAUGAAAAAUAGAGAGACAAACUAAGAAACAGACUCAACUAGAGAAAACAAACUGAUGGUUACCAGAGGGAGCUGGGGCGGGGGUGGGGGACAAUGGGUGAACAUAGGUAAAGGGGAUUAAGAGUACACUGAUUCUGAUGAGUACUGAGUAAUGUAUAGAAUGGCAGAAUCACUAUAUUGUACACCUCAAACUAAUAUAACACUGCAUGUUAGCUAUACUGGAAAUAAAAUAAAAAUCUUAAUUUAAAAAUAAAUUCUUUAUAAAUAAAUGUCAAAAGGUGGAUAAAGAGAGACAUGAGCUCUCUGCCACCCAAGGACAUAGCAAGAUGCCUGUCUGCAAACCAGGAAGAGGGCCCUUUACUAGACAGAAUCUGCUGGCACUCAGAUCAUGGGACUUCCUAGACACUCCUAACACUAGUCUACUUCUAUGUAGGUUUGAAAUUUUUCAUUAAUAAGAAAACCUGAACUUGGGAUGGGGGGGAAGCUAAUUAAAGACAAAAGUUGCAAUAACCUCAGGACUAUUAAGGAUUCAGACCCCUCGAGAAUGAAGGUACAGGGCAAAAGAACAUGGAAUGAGAAAUAAGGAAAUAAGUUGUACAUUAUCACCCAUAGCUUGUGAGCUGGUACAGAGACAAGAACUGUAGCAGCUAAGUAUAUGUUAUUCACUGCCUAUUUUAGAUGGUAUUACUCUCUUCUUAAGAGGGUUUUUUUUUUAAUAUUUUAUUUCUUAGUAAUCUCUACACCCCACAUGGGGCUCAAACUCACACCCUGAGAUCAUGAGCUGCAUGCUCCACCAACUGAGCCGGCCAGGGGCCCUUCUCCUUGCUUUAUAUAUUUGUAGAUAUAAACCAAUUUUUCUAUAUUCAUGUUCACACACACAGUAUCCAGGUGAGAUUGUUAAGUGAACUGGAGAGACAUUAGAAGAAGAAAUGUGUGGGAAAUAUCAGAAAGGGAGACAGAACAUAAAGACUCCUAACUCUGGGAAACGAACUAGGGGUGGUGGAAGGGGAAGAGGGCGGGGGGUGGGGGUGAAUGGGUGACAGGCACUGAGGGGGGCACUUGACGGGAUGAGCACCGGGUGUUACUCUGUAUGUUGGUAAAUUGAACACCAAUAAAAAAUUAAUUUAUUAAAAAAAAAAGAAUCACCUAGAAAUGGACAGAAUGACUGAUGGGAUCACUGAAUAUGGUGUUAAUGGUUUCCCUACAAUUACUGAUCAAUCCUUCAGUAACUUUACCUUUAUCCAUUUUGCUACUAACCUUUUCAACACCAACAUUUUUCCAUUUCUUUUGACUGAAUAUUUGUUUUAUGAUGGGACCCUGAGCCAUCUAAGGCUUAAUUUCAUGUUACUAGAGAGUCAGAAAAUUAGGUAAGUGACUAAGCCCUAUAUGAGGCUCACCAUACUUGCAUUUCAACUUAACUCUGCUUCAGGAAAACUGCAAAGGUUGAUUAUCAUAUAUCAUCCAGAACCCAUGCUGAAACACAAGUGUUAAAUCUGAAAACAGUGUGGGUUGGCAGUAUGCUGCAAAGAUGUGUAGAUGCACACACAGAUCGCACUCACAAACUCUGGAGGUCAGAGCAGUAUCAGGUAGGCAACACUUCUCUACUCACAGACUGCCCAUUCUGUACUUCAAAAUAAUUUCCAAUGCUAGGUCCCACUCCAAAUUAGAAACUCUGGUCAUGGAGCUUAAGGAAUGAUUUUUGCUUCAAGUUCCACAGAUGAUCUGGUGCUAGCUGACAUACAGCUUCAUAUAGAACCUGUACCACACUGCCUCCCUGCGGGCUACUUCUAUGCACUAAUAUUAAGAUGUCCAAGAGAAAUUUUAUCCCUAUUUAAUAAUAGUCUACCGUAUUGAGCCUACAUGAGCCUACAAACUCCCUUCACUCUGGCAAAAUGGCCUACAAACACUAUUUAUCAAGUAUUUUAUGCACUGGGCACUAUACCAUGCACUUGCAUUUUAAGUUUUUUAAAAGAUUUAUUUAUUUAUUUAUUUAUUUAUUUAUUUACUCAUUCAUUCAUUCAUUCAUUCAUGAUAGAGAGAGAGAGAGAGAGAUGAUAGAGAGAGAGAGAGAGAGGCAGAGACACAGGAGGAGCGAGAAGCAGGCUCCAUGCCAGGAGCCCAACGUGGGACUUGAUCUCGGGACUCCAGGAUCACGCCCUGGGCCAAAGGCAGGUGCUAAACCGCUGAGCCACCCAGGGAUGCCCUGCAUUUUAAAUUAUUGAUCAUAACCACUUGAUAGUUUCCAUUUUGCAGAUAGGGAAAAAAUACUUGCCCAAAGUAGGUGGUAGGACCAACAUUCAUAUCUGACAGUUUGACUCCAGCAACUCCAUUCAUGAAACCAGUUGCAGGUUCACUCCACAGGAUACCUUAAAAAAAAAAAAAAAA
rnacentral:lncRNA from 1 species